UGCAUGCGCAAUAUACGCAAACGCAUCACGGCAAGUAGUAGCGCCAUAAGUCACAUAUUACAUAGUAACGCCAUCUUUCCGCAACUAGCAGCAGACUAGUGGUCAGCGGGUUGAGAACUGGUAAACAAGUGACACCGAUAAUAGACAUUUGGAAAUUGAGGGUGUCGCGAAAAAACGCGGACGACCGGCAGAAGACAGAACAAAAGGGGAGAAAAUGUUACGCCGUUAAUAAGACGGAGACUAAUAAAAACAUGUAGUUUUACGGACAUCGUAGACCAUAAUAGUAUCGAUUGGAGUUUGUUGUGAUAUUUGUGCGUGUGAGUUCCAGAAUUAGUCACGGGCAUACGGGAACGCCCUUCCUGUCGAAUUCGUUUCUGGGAAUUUAAACAAAAACUCCCGGAAUAACACUGCAGAGGAUACGUACCGCAAUUUCGCCAUAGUAUCAUAAGACGAUUUGGACUAGAGGCUCAAGUACUCGGCUGCUAAGCAAAUGUUCCGGGUUCGCUUCCUGCAAAGGCGAAGUCUUUUUGUUUCUUUUAUUUUUGUUUGUAUUUAGUGUCUUACUUUUAUCUUCAUUCAUUUUGUUUUUAUUUUAAUUUUUUUGGCUUUUAUGUAAUUUACGUAAACAAGAGUUUCUGUUAGUUUUAGUCAUCGACGAAAAUCUCUUGGCUAUUUUGGCAGUAUCGUGCACUGUGUCUAUUUCAACUUUAUUUUAGUAUUUAAGGUUUUUGUUGUAUUUUUAAUUAUUAUACUGUAAAGUUAACUGUCACCAAUUGUUUUAUCUAUCAUCGAAUUCAAGAACCCGAGUCAUUACAUUGGCGCCUAACAGGUAUUCGGUGGUUUAGAUCAGUCCGUGGUGACAGUUGACAACAGAAGUCUGUUUAAGUUUUGUAAAUUAGA